UGUGGUAUCAGAAAGGACAGAAGGGAGAAUAUGUGCAAGGAAUCUUAGGAUGGUUGGAUGCUUUGAAUUGCAGCAAUCGAAACUCUGUAACUAGUUUAAGACAUUUAGCCUUUAUUUGCUCCAGUGACAGCAGAAGCUGCCUGGGAGUUCCGCCGUUGCUUCUAAGAGUGGAGGAGGACUUUGGGAAUUGAAAGGCACAGGCUAUCUGCCAAGUUGAGAGGCUGACAACCAAAAGGCAAGUGUGGGAAUUUCUGGGGGCAGCUGGAUUUUGCCACAUCUGGAUACCAGGGUUCUUACAAAUUGCUAAGCCACUCUUGAGGCUAUGGCAAGGUCUGGACAAACACCACUUCGGUGGGAGCCUGAAUAAGAACAGGCAUUCUUAAAGCUCAAAGAACUGGUCAUGCAGGCUCCUGCACUAGGACUUCCUGAUGUGACCAAAGACUUUAAUUUGUUUGUACAUGAAAAAGACGUGGCCUUGGGAGUCCUAACCCAGACUGUAGGGUCCUGGCAAGGACUGGUGGCCUACUUGUCUAGAGACUGGACUCAGUGGCCUCAGGAUGGACCCCAUGCAGCCGAGCUAUAGCACUAAUGGUAAAAAAAGCCGAAAAGAUAAUCUUGGGACAGAGGAUUUAAGUUCCCACAUUCUGUCCUGGCCUUACUCACAGGGCCGGGAGCCAAGUGGCUGUCAACACCUAGAGCCCUCCACUACCAGGGACUGUUGUGUGAAAAUCCCCAUGCUCAGGUGGAACCCAGCCAGGCUGUUAACCCAGCCACUUUCCUCCCAGUGGGGUUGGGCCUGACUGUGAGGAAAUUUUGGAGGAAAUUCAUGCCAGUCUGCCCGAUCUCCAGGACUCUCCACUGACUGAUGCGGAGGUCUAUUAACUGUUGGGGGCAAGGAAAUAAAAAAUAAGGAAGAAAUCUUAAUACUCUUGGAAGCUGUUUGGGACUCAGAACAGGUGGCAGUAAUGCACAGCAGAGAACACCAGAAAGGUCAGGCAAUGGAGGCAAAAGGAAACUGGAUGGCUGACCAAGCAGCCAAGGAGGCAGCUACACAGGAACCACAGGUUGUGUCUGAUAAGCCCAAGCGAUGCCUUCACUCCCACCACAGCCUGUAUAUAGUAAUGAAGAGCUAGAAUGGCUAAAAACUGAAGGGGGAUUCCGGCAAGCUGACGGAUGGUGGGUGUUACCAGAUGGAUGAAUCUUUGUGUCCUCCUCUCUGGCAUGUAAAGUAGUACAAGAUUUCCAUCAGUCAACCCACCUCGGCCGCAGGUAUUCUUCCUUGAAUUCAUCACAGUAGGGUGAAGAUUGCUGCAGACAAAACCACCUCCUGAAAAGUAGAAAAGGACACAGACCGGCCACUGAAACUCUCCCUUAAGAAACAAGAAGGAAAAUGACUUCAGCUCAGAGCGUUCUGCGACUGCUGGAGACAACCCUGCUGCUACUAGGACAUCUAUAGACCAGGUGGAGAUCCAGGACAAUGUCUUUAUAUCACAGGCACAAUUCUAUGUGAACUUUCACAACCAAUCCAGCUGGGUAUGUGGAGCCCUGCCAAUGUCUGUAAUGGAUGAAGACCCUGGUAGAUAUCACCUUUCCACCAGGGUGAUUUGGCUAAUUUAUGUGACUUUUAUAUCUGUUUUUCAAUGGUAUGAUUACUUGGCAGCCGUAUUUGUUCCAUCACUAGAAAUGACAGAUAUCAUGAUGAGGGUGGAAGCUUUAACUUUACCAAACAGGCUUUAUUAAAUGAGAUGAAAACUAUAAACGCACUAAAUACUAAACAAAUACUGAUGGGAAAGGCUGUCAUUCAGGUAGAAUGGCAUUAGCCAUCCUAACAGCUGCCCAAGGAGGGACAUGUGCUAUCAUAAAAGUAGAGUGUUGUGCAUAUAUUCCUGAUCUCUCUGGUAAUCUGAUAAUGUAACUGCUGCAUUAGAUGAUAUGAGGCAUCAGGUUAGAGCAAUGUCUGAUGAUAAUCUUCUUUUUUGGACUUCUGUUUUGUCUUGGUUAAAAGGGGACUGGUGGAAAAUGUAAUACUAAUCAUAGUUAUUAUACUGCUAUUGCUAAUCUUUGGACCUUGAAUUUUCAAUUGUGUUACUCAGCUUGUUGCAUCCCAUUUAGGAACCAUGUUCCAAGCCCACACCCCUUGAGUAUACAGUAUUUGCCAAUGACUGAUGCACAUCAGAAAGGAUGAGCAUCAGGAGGGGGGAAUGUAGGGAUGUGGAAAAAGGGAAUAAGGAGCUUGGCAAGAGUGAAGCCAUCUCGCUGCCACCAUCUAUCUUGGUCAACUUAAGGUGACUCAUAUGAGGGCUCUGAGAAAAACAAAGUCAUUAGGACUUGGAAAAUGCCAGGCCCUGAUUGUUCUAAAGAAAUUCAAUAAUAGCUAGAUUGUGCUUGAGGUUAAUCAUUAAAGUAACAAUAUGAGGCAUUCUUUACAUCUAUACACUUUUCUGUACCCUGCAUGUAACUAAAGAUUAAUGUAGCAUGUUAGAUAUGUAAGCAAGGACCCCCAACUUUUGGUUCAGGGUCCAUGAUUGGGACGUGAUUCCCCGUGGACCUGCUGGCAUAAUAAAGCUAUUCUCCAUCUUC